AAUAUAAAACGUUCCAGAGUUACAGGAAUUUUUCACAUUUGUAUAUUGUAAUUAAUAAUCCAAAAUCUCAUCAGUAGUGAAUAUAGUAGUCAAACAUUCUAUUGUUUUAGCUCCAGGCGGCGUUAGAUUUCAUGCACAAUUAUUUAAAUCUUGAACAAUUAUAAUAUUAUUACUAUUCGGGUGUUUGGUUAAUCGAAAAUAUACCCCAAGAUCCAUUACGGAAAAACCAAUAACAGU